GCACAUUUAGUGUAGUGGUAUCAUAGUAUCCUCCAACGGUAUUGACCGGGGCGCAAUUCCCCGAAUGCGCA
rnacentral:tRNA from 1 species